GGAUGUGAGGGCGAUCUGGCUGCGACAUCUGUCACCCCAUUGAUCGCCAGGGUUGAUUCGGCUGAUCUGGCUGGCUAGACGAGUGUCCCCUUCCUCCCUCCACCGCUCCAUGUGCGUCCCUCCCGAAGCUGCGCGCUCGGUCGAAGAGGAUGACCAUCCCCGAUAGAGGAGGACCGGUCUUCGGUCAAGGGUGUACGAGUAGCUGCGCUCCACUGCUAGAACCUCCAAACAAGCUCUCGAGAUAGACAUAUGGUUGAAGAAAGGACAAGACUGUGCAAGUUCUGAAGGUCAUGGUUAGGAGGUCAGACUUAGUGC
rnacentral:snRNA from 1 species